rnacentral:ncRNA from 2 species
CACCGAGGAGCGUUGCAACGGGACAAGGUCCCGCCAGGCUCGGUGAGGGCUCCAUAAGUUUCAACGGCGCUUACUCUGA